GGAAGCAUGCCCUGGUUCCAGGGCAGGGGGACGAACAUCACCAGGCAGGCGAGGAGCAGGGACAGGCACCACAGGAGAGCCUGCAGCAACUGAUCGCCCGCGCGUGCGUUGGACGAACGAGGAGCAACGUUAAACGAAACGUGCAGGUUGAGGGUGUACAGAGGGCGCCUCUCGUGUCGACACUCUGAAAUUCAUCGGCCGACGUUGCUGUGAGAGGAUCCUUCCGGCCCUGUGGUGGUGAGAUGAAAAAGUAGACGGUUACGCACUAACAGGCCCGAGGCAGUCAAUUUGAUGCACAUUAAUAAUUAUUUCCUAGGUGACGCUGAUGAUGAUACAUAGCUCUCUCACGAGGUUUUCUGUAUUCUUACACUGUCUGGAACAUGCGUUAGUCUGGCUGGUGCUUCAAUUUCAUAUAUGAAGCAAAUAAACGCAGUUGAAAUA